AGUUUCUUCUUCAAGGUCUCAAGGUCUGAAGCAUCCCACAGAAUGAUCCUACUGAAUAACUCCCAUAAGCUGCUGGCCCUAUACAAAUCCUUGGCCAGGAGCAUCCCUGAGUCCCUGAAGGUGUAUGGCUCUCUGUUUCACAUCAAUC
rnacentral:sRNA from 2 species